rnacentral:rRNA from 1 species
AGAGGUGACUAGUACUGAAUCAUAUUUGUGACAAAUGUGAUGUCGUAAGGGAAAAUAAUGAUAUUACCUUACUAAUAGUGUCGUCUAAAACUGGUGCCAGAAGACUCGGUAAGGCCAGAGACACAAAUGUUAAUCGUCUUAAUCAGGCGUAAAGGGUUUGUAGGCUGCUUUGAAAGUAUUUAUUUUACAUAGCAAUUUCUAAUUUAUUAGAAAAGUAAAAUUUUAUUAAUUAAAGCUAGAAUCAAAUAGAGGAUAUUUACGAAAUAAUGCUUGGUUGAGGGCUGAUAUCCGGAGACACCAAGUGGAGUACCAAUGGCGUAAGCAUUUAUCCAUUAAUGAUUGACGCUGAGAAACGAAGGUGAGGAUAGGAAAUAGGAUUAGAUACCCAGAUACCCCUCUCUGUCAACGAUGAAUGGUAGUUUGUUAGUCUUAAGGACUAGUGACGAAGUUAACACGUUAACCAUUCCGCCUUGUGAGUACGACUGCAAAGUUGAAAACAAAAAAAUUAGUCGGUCCGGCAUGAAGAU